rnacentral:rRNA from 1 species
UGGGCGUAAGGGCGCGUAGGCGGCCUGGGAAGUUCUGGGUGAAAGCUCGAGGCUCAACCUCGAGAGGACCUGGGAAACCACUGGGCUGGAGUGCCGGAGAGGGAAGCGGAAUUCCCGGUGGAGCGGUGAAAUGCGUAGAGAUCGGGAGGAACACCGGAGGCGAAGGCGGCUUCCUGGACGGACACUGACGCUGAGGCGCGAAAGCCAGGGGAGCGAACGGGAUUAGAUACCCCGGUAGUCCUGGCCCUAAACGAUGGGUACUUGGUGUGGGGGGUAAGUGAAAGUCCCUCCGUGCCGGAGGCUAACGCAUUAAGUACCCCGCCUGGGGAGCACGGCCGCAAGGCUGAAACUCAAAGGAAUUGACGGGGGCCCGCACAAGCGGUGGAGCAUGUGGUUUAAUUCGACGCAACGCGAAGAACCUUACCGGGGUUUGAAGUGCGCGUGCCACUUCCAGAGAUGGGAGGUCUUGCUUCGGCAAGCGCGUGCAAAGGUGCUGCAUGGCUGUCGUCAGCUCGUGUCGUGAGAUGUUGGGUUAAGUCCCGCAACGAGCGCAACCCUUGUCCGUAGUUGCCAUCAGGUGAAGCUGGGCACCCUACGGAGACUGUCGGCGAAAAGCCGGAGGAAGGUGGGGAUGACGUCAAGUCAUCAUGGCCUUUAUGCCCCGGGCUACACACGUGCUACAAUGAUCGGUACAGAGGGGAGCCAACCCGCGAGGGGGAGCGAAUCCCAGCAAAGCCGGUCACAGUUCGG